rnacentral:misc_RNA from 1 species
GAACUGUUCUUAAUUGUUGGGUUGUUCCCAUUUUGUGAUUGACAUAAUGGGUGUCUGCUGAUUUCACUGUUCAAUGUUGUUCAAAACCAUUCAUGUUGCUUGAUGGUGUUGCUGGAGCUAACAAUCUCACCAUCUUCCACAUCCGAGCUUGCUACUGAUAUCCUUUUUUCCCUUUAUCUUCCGCUAUUUGGGCAGUUAAAAUGGUAAUUCAAAUUUUU